rnacentral:rRNA from 1 species
UGGGGAAUUUUGGACAAUGGGCGAAAGCCUGAUCCAGCAAUGCCGCGUGUGUGAAGAAGGCCUUCGGGUUGUAAAGCACUUUUGUCCGGAAAGAAAUCCUUGGCUCUAAUACAGUCGGGGGAUGACGGUACCGGAAGAAUAAGCACCGGCUAACUACGUGCCAGCAGCCGCGGUAAUACGUAGGGUGCAAGCGUUAAUCGGAAUUACUGGGCGUAAAGCGUGCGCAGGCGGUUUGCUAAGACCGAUGUGAAAUCCCCGGGCUCAACCUGGGAACUGCAUUGGUGACUGGCAGGCUAGAGUAUGGCAGAGGGGGGUAGAAUUCCACGUGUAGCAGUGAAAUGCGUAGAGAUGUGGAGGAAUACCGAUGGCGAAGGCAGCCCCCUGGGCCAAUACUGACGCUCAUGCACGAAAGCGUGGGGAGCAAACAGGAUUAGAUACCCUGGUAGUCCACGCCCUAAACGAUGUCAACUGGUUGUUGGGAAGGUUCCUUCUCAGUAACGUAGCUAACGCGUGAAGUUGACCGCCUGGGGAGUACGGCCGAAGGUUGAAACUUAAAUGAAUUGACGGGGUCAUAGCU